GGUAGCCAAACACCUCAUCAUCUAAACAGUGAUGCCUAUGAAUGGAUGAACAAGAUUUCCACUGUUCCUACCUA
rnacentral:rRNA from 1 species